AACGAACGCUGGCGGCAGGCUUAACACAUGCAAGUCGAGCGCCCCGCAAGGGGAGCGGCAGACGGGUGAGUAACGCGUGGGAACGUACCCUUUGCUACGGAAUAGCUCCGGGAAACUGGAAUUAAUACCGUAUGUGCCCUACGGGGGAAAGAUUUAUCGGCAAAGGAUCGGCCCGCGUUGGAUUAGCUAGUUGGUGGGGUAAUGGCCUACCAAGGCGACGAUCCAUAGCUGGUCUGAGAGGAUGAUCAGCCACAUUGGGACUAAGACACGGCCCAAACUCCUACGGGAGGCAGCAGUGGGGAAUAUUGGACAAUGGGCGCAAGCCUGAUCCAGCCAUGCCGCGUGAGUGAUGAAGGCCUUAGGGUUGUAAAGCUCUUUCACCGGAGAAGAUAAUGACGGUAUCCGGAGAAGAAGCCCCGGCUAACUCCGUGCCAGCAGCCGCCGUAAAAC
rnacentral:rRNA from 1 species